GUGCCAUUUCAAAAAGAUGAUGCAAGUCAAAUCAUACUUUUGGUAUUUAUCAAUGUAUCGUAUAUUGUGGAAAGAUCGAUCAAAGUUGCAGAGAGCGGAUAACUGCAAAUCGAGACACUGAAAUAGAGGAAUAAAGGCAAUCAUAGGGGAGAGGAAGCGUGUUUAAUCAGAUGAGGAUGAAUAAAUGUCAGUGAUAACACCACCAAGGCAUUCAAAGGUGACAGUGGCGAUGGCAGGACUGUUCUGCAGGCAUCACAACAGUUACUAUAAGAUCCCCAAACAGUUGCACCAUCUCUACAGAGGGUGUCGCGAAAUUCCGUCGUUUCUCACAACAGAGGUGCAAGCGAAAAAUGCCGCGUGGUUGAAGACAGCAUCGGACAGAGAUGGUGGGAGGGAAAUGAGGCAGACGCAAAUACACCAGGAUGAAAAAACAAAACAAUAUUAUGUUAAAAACCCUUAAUGUUUAAUGCAGUAGUGUAACCUUAAAUAUUGUUCAAUGAAAUAACUUUUAUUUCAAGUCUUAUUUUGUUUGUUUGUUUAUUUAUACAGUAACAGCCUGUGUGUAUUAUGGCAUUUUUAUGCCCCCCUUCGAAGAAGAGGGGUAUAUUGCUUUGCACAGGCAUGUCGGUCCGUCGGUAGACCAAAGCUUGUCCGAGUGAUAACUCAACAAUUCCUAGACGUAUGGUCAUCAAACUUCACAUGAAGGUUGGGCCUGACCAGUAGAUGACCCCUAUUGAUUUUGGGGGUCAUCGGGUCAAAGGUCAAGGUCACAGUGACCUUUAAUGGUAAAAUAAUUUUAAAGCUUGUCCGAGUGAUAACUCAACCAAUGCCUGCACCCAUGGCCCUCAAACUUGACAUGGAGGUUGGGCCUGACCAGGAGAUGACCCCUAUUGUUUUUGGGGGUCAUUGGGCCAAAGGUCAAGGUCACAGUGACCUGGAAUGGUAAAAGGUUAUCCGAGUGAUAACUUGACAAUGGCUGCACCCAUGGCCCUCAAACUUGAUUUGGAGGUUGAGCCCGGCCAGAAGAUUGUCCCUAUUAAUUUUAGGGUUCAUUGGGCCAAAGGUCAAGGUCACAGUGACCUUGAAUGAUAAAAGGUUGUCCAAGUGUUAACUCAACAAUGCCUGCACCGAUGGCCCUCAAACUUGACAUGGAUGUUGGGCCUGACCAGUAGAUGACCCCUAUUGAUUUUAGGUGUCAAAGGUCAAGGUCACAGUGACCUUGAAAGCAAACUCGACAAUUCUUGGACCUAUGGUCAUCAAACUUGACAUGAAGGUUGGGCCUGCUCAGUAGAUGACCCCAAUCGACUUUGGGGGUCAUCAGGCCAAGGUCAAUGUCACAGUAACCUUUAACGCAAAAGAGUUAACAAAUCUUCCCCCACUGAUAUCUCAACAAUGCCUGAACCUAUGAUCAUUAAACUUGACAUGGAUGUUAAGCCUGACCAGUAGAUCACCCUUAUUGAUUUAGGGUUCAUAAGAGCCAAAGGUCAAGGUCACAGUGAUCUUGAAUGGUAAAAGGUUGUCCGAGUGAUAACUCAACAAUGCCUGAACCCAUGGCCUUCAAACUUAACUUGGAGUUGCAUCUGACUUGUAGAUGAACCCUUAUGAUUUAAGUGGUCAUCGGGUCAAAGGUCAAGGUCACAGUGACCUUGAACGAAAAAAACUUGUCUUGUGAUAACUUGACAAUGCCUGCACCAAUGGCCCUCAAACUUGAUAUUUAGGUUUCUGGUGACCAGCUGAUGACUCUGGAUUUUGAGUUCAUAGAGUCAAAGGUCAUGACGGUCAUAACACACUUUAUCCUCACACUUUAAUGGUCAUAAUCUUAAAACAGCAACAAAUCAGCUGUCAUUUCGGUCCAUGCAUAUUUCAUUCAAUUGUCCAUAUAAUCCUGACAACAUGGCGCUCAGGGGGGGCAUAAUGUUUGACAAACAUCUCUUGUUUGUAUUUUAACUUGAUUUUGAUAAACUGUUCAGGGGUAUUAUCCACAUUCUGUGAUAAUUCAAUUGUUUAAAUAUUUAUAUAGCAAUGAUAAUAAUAAUAAAAUUUUAUAGGUUUACGGUU